UACGUAGGGUGCAAGCGUUGUCCGGAAUUAUUGGGCGUAAAGGGCUCGUAGGUGGUUUGUCGCGUUGUUCGUGAAAACUCACAGCUCAACUGUGGGCGUGCGGGCGAUACGGGCAGACUUGAGUACUGCAGGGGAGACUGGAAUUCCUGGUGUAGCGGUGGAAUGCGCAGAUAUCAGGAGGAACACCGGUGGCGAAGGCGGGUCUCUGGGCAGUAACUGACGCUGAGGAGCGAAAGCGUGGGGAGCGAACAGG
rnacentral:rRNA from 1 species